rnacentral:rRNA from 1 species
GCUCAGGAUGAACGCUAGCUACAGGCUUAACACAUGCAAGUCGAGGGGCAGCAUCAUCAAAGCUUGCUUUGAUGGAUGGCGACCGGCGCACGGGUGAGUAACACGUAUCCAACCUGCCGACAACACUGGGAUAGCCUUUCGAAAGAAAGAUUAAUACCGGAUGGCAUAGUUUUCCCCGCAUGGGAUGACUAUUAAAGAAUUUCGGUUGUCGAUGGGGAUGCGUUCCAUUAGGCAGUUGGCGGGGUAACGGCCCACCAAACCGACGAUGGAUAGGGGUUCUGAGAGGAAGGUCCCCCACAUUGGAACUGAGACACGGUCCAAACUCCUACGGGAGGCAGCAGUGAGGAAUAUUGGUCAAUGGACGAGAGUCUGAACCAGCCAAGUAGCGUGAAGGAUGACUGCCCUAUGGGUUGUAAACUUCUUUUAUACGGGAAUAAAGUUAGCCACGUGUGGCUUUUUGUAUGUACCGUAUGAAUAAGGAUCGGCUAACUCCGUGCCAGCAGCCGCGGUAAUACGGAGGAUCCGAGCGUUAUCCGGAUUUAUUGGGUUUAAAGGGAGCGUAGGCGGGUUGUUAAGUCAGUUGUGAAAGUUUGCGGCUCAACCGUAAAAUUGCAGUUGAUACUGGCGACCUUGAGUGCAACAGAGGUAGGCGGAAUUCGUGGUGUAGCGGUGAAAUGCUUAGAUAUCACGAAGAACUCCGAUUGCGAAGGCAGCUUACUGGAUUGUAACUGACGCUGAUGCUCGAAAGUGUGGGUAUCAAACAGGAUUAGAUACCCUGGUAGUCCACACAGUAAACGAUGAAUACUCGCUGUUGGCGAUAUACAGUCAGCGGCCAAGCGAAAGCAUUAAGUAUUCCACCUGGGGAGUACGCCGGCAACGGUGAAACUCAAAGGAAUUGACGGGGGCCCGCACAAGCGGAGGAACAUGUGGUUUAAUUCGAUGAUACGCGAGGAACCUUACCCGGGCUUAAAUUGCAACUGACUGAACCGGAAACGGUUCUUUCUUCGGACAGUUGUGAAGGUGCUGCAUGGUUGUCGUCAGCUCGUGCCGUGAGGUGUCGGCUUAAGUGCCAUAACGAGCGCAACCCUUAUCGAUAGUUACUAGCAGGUCAUGCUGAGGACUCUAUUGAGACUGCCGUCGUAAGAUGUGAGGAAGGUGGGGAUGACGUCAAAUCAGCACGGCCCUUACGUCCGGGGCUACACACGUGUUACAAUGGGGGGUACAGAAGGCAGCUACACGGCGACGUGGUGCUAAUCCCGAAAGCCUCUCUCAGUUCGGAUUGGAGUCUGCAACCCGACUCCAUGAAGCUGGAUUCGCUAGUAAUCGCGCAUCAGCCACGGCGCGGUGAAUACGUUCCCGGGCCUUGUACACACCGCCCGUCAAGCCAUGAAAGCCGGGGGUACCUGAAGUACGUAACCGCAAGGAGCGUCCUAGGGUAAAACUGGUGAUUGGGGCUAAG